GAUGAACGCUAGCGGCAGGCCUAACACAUGCAAGUCGAGGGGUAGAGGUUGCUUGCAACCUUGAGACCGGCGCACGGGUGCGUAACGCGUAUGCAAUCUGCCUUGUACUGAGGGAUAGCCCAGAGAAAUUUGGAUUAAUACCUCAUAGUAUCUUUUCCCGGCAUCGGGAGAUUAUUAAAGUUCCAACGGUACAAGAUGAGCAUACGUCCCAUUAGCUAGUUGGUAUGGUAACGGCAUACCAAGGCAAUGAUGGGUAGGGGUCCUGAGAGGGAGAUCCCCCACACUGGUACUGAGACACGGACCAGACUCCUACGGGAGGCAGCAGUGAGGAGUAUUGGUCAAUGGGCGCAGGCCUGAACCAGCCAUGCCGCGUGCAGGAUGAAGCAUCUAUGGUGUGUAAACUGCUUUUAUACGGGAAGAAACACCGGUUCGUGAACCGGCUUGACGGUACCGUAAGAAUAAGGAUCGGCUAACUCCGUGCCAGCCGCCGCCGUAA
rnacentral:rRNA from 1 species